GACGUAGGAGGCGAGCGUUGUCCGGAUUCAUUGGGCGUAAAGCGCACGUAGGCGGCUCGGCAAGUCGGAUGUGAAAUCCCUCGGCUCAACCAAGGAAGUGCAUCCGAAACUGCAGAGCCUGAGUACUUAAGAGGAUCGCGGAAUUCCCGGUGUAGAGGUGAAAUUCGUAGAUAUCGGGAGGAACACCAGUGGCGAAGGCGGUGAUCUGGGAAGAUACUGACGCUGAGGUGCGAAAGCGUGGGGAGCAAACAGG
rnacentral:rRNA from 1 species